rnacentral:tRNA from 1 species
GGUGCGAUAGUUCAGAUGGUUAGAAUAUCGGCUUGUCACGCCGGGGGUCGCGGGUUCGAAUCCCGUUCGCACCG